rnacentral:misc_RNA from 1 species
AAAAGCUAUUGCAUUGUUAUUAUAAUUGUAAAAUAACACACAAAAUUUGGGAGCAAAACUUUACUAAUUUACAGUACAAUUUUAUCAAAAGUGUAUUUAAAAAAGAAAAUCCAUGUCUCUGAAAUACCUUCCACAAGGGUCGGUCAAAUUAUGUGAAAGAAAUCUAACACAUAGGCAUGCUAUGUUUGUUGGCAUGUUUGCAAUCUUAAAUGCUUGUACUUUUGUUCUUGGUUGAAAUGUCUUGCACACUCUGUCAAGCCUUUUGAUAAAAUGUAUUUUAAUGCAGCAACUCCCUCUGGUAUAGCAGUAUCAAUCUUGUUCAAAAGAAAAUCAUACAACAUAAUGAGAAUUUGGGAGUGAAAUAAUAUUGCUAUGACUGCUAAACAAAUAUCAUAAUCAAGCAUCAAAAAACAUUGCAAUCAAGGAUAAGAAAUUGUUGAAGCUUCCAUCUUGACUACGCCAAAUCCAUUAAACUUAUUUUCAAACACAAACUUACUCGCUCUCGAGCUGUUGCGUUGAACUUCUGCAAUAAGAAAGCUUUGGGAUCCAUUUGACCAGGAGGCCUCCCAAUUCCAAUUCUCAGCCGAGCAAAUUCUCUAGUUCCUCGAAAAUGAUAGAUGACACUUUUCAAACUGGAAAAAAGAAAUAAAAUAAAACAAAAUAAAGUGUAAGGAUUAAGCACAAAUGUUUAACAAAAGGAUAAAGAGUUUAUUAAUAAAAAAAGGGCAAACAUUGCACAUAGUUCUAAGACAAAAGGCUCAUUGGUUGUGUAACCUAGUAGGUUCAUAUCUACAACAAAUUUGAAGUUGCCUACAAAAUUGAUUUAAUGUUCACUCCUUGACAUAGAACUACUCCUAACAGUGUAAGACAUAGAUGUUUCGAAAAUGAAAAAAAAUCUAUCUUGAAUCAUACACCAGGGAUGGCAUUAUCAAACAUUCCAAGCAUCCACUUACUCCAUAUGCCUCCAACCAUUCUGUCAUGACCACAAUUUGACCAAUGUAGGUAAGAAUAUAUUAUUUGUAAAACAAUUUGCAUAUUCCCCUCUUAGGAUUGAGUAUGGAAGGAUCCUCUAUAUAUCCAUACCCGUUGUGGCUUCCAUGUCCUCCUUUGUGUUGAAGUCGAAGUACUCCACAUGGCAAGUCCAUAUCAUCAUGAAUCUAAAAUUGCAGAAUAUAAGAUACGCAAAAUCAAAUCAGUUACCAAAACUUUUCAAGGAAAUAUGCUUGGAGCAAUUAGAUUACCACUAUGACACGAUUAAGAGGUAGCUUAAAGUAAGCUGCAAGUGGCCCAGUCUGCAUUUAAAAGAAAGAUAUAAGCGAUUGCGUUUAUUAUAUUUUAUACAUUGAGAUCCCGCUGAUAACUUGGCAACCGAGCAAUAUCUUUCAAACAUUAAUUAAAAUUUCUCUAAUCUACCUCAAAUUGUCAAUGACCAGAUACUAAAGAGUGAUAUCUGAAAAUCUCCAAAGAUUGCAUCAAAAUAAAAUUGAAUUUUUUCUUUCCGAAAUUUUUGUGCAAGUAUCAUAUUUUUCGAAUACCCGUGGAAUAUUUGGCGAAUAUUUAAAAUUUGGAAGUAUAUGCCAAAACUUGAGAUGCUAUUUUUUAUCAUUAUUUCACUAUAGAUAGUUGUUGACGUCAUUAUGAGUUACUAUAGUAGUUGCCGACUUUCACUGUAGCAGUGCCAACCCACCUAAUUUUGACCUCAAAAUUUAGCAUUUUUAGCUAAAAUUGGAUACAACAAUAGCCAAAAUUGACUUUCUAACAUUCCCUCGCCAUUUUGAACCAAUAAAUACUCAUUUUUACCAACAUAAACUAAGAAGUUUUUAAACAGAGAGAAACUUUGGCUCAUUAGUUUGACAAGACGGCUAAUCCUCUCCAAGAGUAUCAUAUACCAUUGUGAUGCUCACUUCGCUAGCUUAUAUUUGCAAUCAACCAAACUAAUUUUGGUGGCCCCAAGGAGGAGAUCAAAAGCACAUCACCACCCAUUGUUGGAUAGUGAAACGAAAUGUGUUAUUGCAAUCAGAACAUCGAAUUACCUCAAAAGGAUCAAACUUGAUUUUUCUCUCAUUAGGUACUAUGUACUAUUUAGGCACAAGCACAACAACUAGUAGUUAUUAUACACUUAUGGUGAUUAUUGUAGUUGCCACCACAAAACGGUGGAAUUAGGAGGCAAAAUUAGUAUUGAUCUACUCGUCUAAUUGUGGGAAGUCUAUGGGUGGUACUCUCUCUAACUCACAAUGAUUCAUCGUAGAUUUAUAAGAGAGUGGUGGUCAUGUGUUUUUAAUCUCCCUCCAACCACCAAAAUUAGUUUAGUUGCGAAUGAGAAUCAUAUUGGUAUAUGUUACUCUCGAGGAGGAUUAGCAAUUUGAUUGGAAUAACAAGUAAAAUUCUCUUAGUUUGGGGUGGUUUUUUAUUGUGAAAAUGAAUAUUUAUAGGCUUAAAAUGGCAGUAAAAAUGUCAGAAAGUCAAUUUAGGCAGUGGGACUACCAAUUUUUAAUUGAAAAUACUGAAUUUUACUGUCAAAAUUAAGUGGGUCAAUGUUGCCAUUGUGAAAGUUGGCAGCUGCUACUAUAACUCAUACUGACACUGGCAGUGACGUCAUCAGCCAUCUAUAGUGACCUACAAUGAUCUACAAUAACAUGUCCUAAUUCAACAUAUAUCUCUAAACUUUAAAAAUCUAUUAAAAAUUCCACGGACUCAAAAAUAUAUUAAACAUUUCAAAAAAUUUCCUAAUUUUAUUUCGAUGCAAACUUUGAAAAUUUUCAAAUAUCACAAUUGCAUGAGCGCGUUUCAACAAAUAAUAAACAACAUAAACACAAAAUGAAAUAGUAUCCAUAUUGCAUGAGAGUGUGUUGUUCUCUUUUGCAAAUAAUAAACAACAUGAACACAAGAUGAAAUAAUAUCCACGUCACAACAUGGUAAUAGGCAUCUUGCACUUGUGAGUGUAAUCAACUGACAAGAAGAAUAAAGAAACCAUGCAUUCUUUUCUAUCAAAUAUGACACAACAAAUCAAAGCUGCCUUCAUCAUCAUCAUUUUUCAAUGAUAAUAUACUAACAUAAGUUACAUUUAUGAGCAAAACAUUAAUGCUUUUGCGUACAUUAAUCAAUUUGACUUGUAUUUUUUUUUUAUCAUACCACUGAUAAUGAACUAAUGAUAUUUAUUUCAUAUUUUUCCAAUAAUUUUUUUAUAUAUAUUAAAACUCAUAUCCCUGCAGUUUAAUCUUAACUAUAUGAAUUACAUUUUAAACUACGGUUACAACAAUCCAAACGACUUACAGAUUCACCACUCAGAUUCAUGUAAGUUUGAGGCUUUGCAAGAAGAAGCGGUGCUUCAUCAAUAAAACCUUCUCCAAAAAUAGCUUUGCAAUGAACUGUAUUCAUCAAAAUCCCUUGUGAUUCAGCAAAUGCAUCAAUCAUCUCAAACCCCACAUUGUGUCGAGUUCCUUUGUAUUUCUCGCCGGGAUUUCCCAAGCCAACAAAAAGCCAUGGCCGUGCAACAGCAGUGCAGAAGCAACACCUAGAAACUUUGUUGAGCAUCUUGUCUCAUGUUCUCUAACUCCUUCCCCUUUAGUGCAACAGAAAAAGCCAAGAAAAUUGCUUUUACCCUUUCAAAUAAAUUUCAACCAAUCAAAAUCCUCAUCACAAUGUUAUUUUCAAUAACAAGACACUUCUCAAUAACAAUUUCAACAACUAACAGAACAAUCCAUCAAGUUAACAAGCAGAUAAAAGAUGGCACUAAGCUUCCCAUACCAACAAAACAUUCAUUACUAAAUAACAUAUAUCAAACCCAUCUCAAAAAUUAAAACAAGCAAAUUUUCAUAGCCCCCUAAACCACUGCUACAGGCAUACACAGCCUCAC